ACUGGAUCGCUAUCUGCUACAACAACUG
rnacentral:piRNA from 1 species